rnacentral:snoRNA from 1 species
AUCCCAUGAUGUGGACAUAUUCUCAAUAGUUCUUUAAACCUCUCCCAAGCUUCAUAUAAUGACUCACCAUCAAAUUGUGCGAAUGAGGUGAUACCAUUUCUCAUCUU